rnacentral:rRNA from 1 species
UCGGGAAUUUUGGGCAAUGGGCGAAAGCCUGACCCAGCAACGCCGCGUGAAGGAUGAAGUAUUUCGGUAUGUAAGCUUCGAAAGAAUAGGAAGAAUAAAUGACGGUACUAUUUAUAAGGUCCGGCUAACUACGUGCCAGCAGCCGCGGUAAUACGUAGGGACCAAGCGUUGUUCGGAUUUACUGGGCGUAAAGGGCGCGUAGGCGGCAAUUCAAGUCAUCUGUGAAAUCUCCGGGCUUAACUCGGAACGGUCAGAUGAUACUGCUUUGCUAGAGUGCAGAAGGGGCAAUCGGAAUUCUUGGUGUAGCGGUGAAAUGCGUAGAUAUCAAGAGGAACACCUGAGGUGAAGACGGGUUGCUGGGCUGACACUGACGCUGAGGCGCGAAAGCCAGGGGAGCAAACGGGAUUAGAUACCCCGGUAGUCCCUGAGCGGGCUGGCAAGGCGCAU